UGUUGAAAAUGAUGUGUGUGUGUGUGUGUGUGUGUGUGUAUGAAGUUUGACACACACACACACACACACACAAAGACA